rnacentral:rRNA from 1 species
UGGGGAAAAUUGCACAAUGGGCGCAAGCCUGAUGCAGCCAUGCCGCGUGUAUGAAGAAGGCCUUCGGGUUGUAAAGUACUUUCAGCGAGGAGGAAGGCGUUGUGGUUAAUAACCGCAACGAUUGACGUUACUCGCAGAAGAAGCACCGGCUAACUCCGUGCCAGCAGCCGCGGUAAUACGGAGGGUGCAAGCGUUAAUCGGAAUUACUGGGCGUAAAGCGCACGCAGGCGGUCUGUCAAGUCGGAUGUGAAAUCCCCGGGCUCAACCUGGGAACUGCAUCCGAAACUGGCAGGCUAGAGUCUUGUAGAGGGGGGUAGAAUUCCAGGUGUAGCGGUGAAAUGCGUAGAGAUCUGGAGGAAUACCGGUGGCGAAGGCGGCCCCCUGGACAAAGACUGACGCUCAGGUGCGAAAGCGUGGGGAGCAAACA